GCCUGAUUGGCUCAGUCGGUUGAGCGUCCGACUUCAGCUCAGGUCAUGAUCUGGCAGUCUGUGAGUUCGAGCCCCGCGUCGGGCU
rnacentral:tRNA from 1 species